AAAGUUCGCAUAAUCCCAAAGCAACAACAAGAGAAAAAAAAAAAUUUGUUUGGAAGAAAAGGAGGAGAAAUGGCUAAGAAGAACGCUAUCAUCUUAUGCCUUUUCUUGGUUCUUUUCGUUUUCGUUGCAGCUGGUGGCGAAGCGAAGAAACAUAUUAAAAUGCAUCAUAAUAAGGUGGUGCAUCUCCAUAAAACGCACGAAACUUGCAAAGAAACAUGGGAAACCACAUGCGUGUUAGAAGAUGAUUGCAACAAAAAAUGUUUCCACGAUCAUGGCAAACAAGCUACAACUCAAUGCCUUGUCCAGGAAGGACCCACAGGCGGUGAUUUGUGCGUAUGCAACUAUGCUUGUUAGGAAAACCACAUUACAUCACAAUUCUUUUUAUGUUAUCCAAGAAAUAAGCAAUUAUUAUUAAAAAAAGAACAAUAUUAUGUUUUAGUAUUUUAUUUUCUUCUGAUUUUACGAUAUUGCAAGACAAAGAAGAACAAGAAAAGAAAAAUCUCAAACAAAAACAUCUCAAUGUGUCUGAGAUGCGACGAGCGGGUGAGAAGUUCCACUCAUCAUGGAUUUCAUUUUAAAACCCUAUUAUUAAGGCUUGAAAAGACUUAGGUUUUUUUGGAGGCUACGCAGGGUCAUGAAAUAAUAAUUGUGAAUACUCCGUAUGCAAAUAUCUUACAUAAUGACUAAUAUGCUUCCCAUUUAAUUUGAGAUAAUAAAUUUGAAUAACCUCACUAAUCAUAAUUACAUAUAUAAUCAAUUAAAAGUCAUUUUUUAAGUGAUGAAGAUGAAAAUCAAAACAACAAAAAAAAAUCAUAGGGAAAUGAAGAACAAGAGACAAAAAAAAAUUGGGAUUUUUUUUUUUGGAAAUGAGUGAUUCAAACAAAAAUUCUAAUAUAGGUGAAUCCUUACCUAUCAAUAGCUACGAAAAACGAUCAAUUCUUGCUGAUUUUUCAUUUGGAUUUUUUAAGUCCCUUGAAUUUUUGGUCAUUGUAACUCAUAUUAUUAUUUUUGCCCGCCCCAGACAUAUUUUCAGUCUCCGCGGCUGGUAGUAUCCAGACAAUCAAUCACUAUGAUAUGAUUUUGUCUUAAAUAUGCAUUAUAUCCAUUAUAUCUCCAUGAUAAUGAUAGUAUAUUUUGGUUUUAAAGCUACAUAAUAUUUGUGGUAUCUUGAAGUCCUGCAAUAUAUAGAUUCUCGGGUGUGUGGGAUAUAAAGUUCGCAUAAUCCCAAAACAACAACAAGAGAAAAGUUAAUUUUGUUCGGAAGAAAAGGAGGAGAAAUGGCUAAGAAGAACGCUAUCAUCUUAUGCGUUUUUUUGGUUCUUUUCAUUUUCGUUGCAGGUGGCGAAGCAAAGAAACAUAUUAAUAAAAUGCACAAAACUUGCAAAGAAACAUGGGAAACGGUAUGCGUGAUUCCAGAAGAUUGCGACGCAAAAUGUUUCCACGAUCAUGGCAAACAAGCUAAAACUGGAUGCCUUGUCCAAGAAGGACCCACGGGCGGUGAUUUGUGCGUCUGCAAUUAUGCUUGUUAGGAAAAUUACAUUACAUCGCAGAUUAUUUUUUUAUGUUGCCCAAGGAAUAAGAUAAGAAAUAUUAAUAUUAUGUUUUUUUUUCUUUCCUAAUUUUAUGAUAUUGCGAAACAAAAAAAAGGAAAUACAAGCGGUGCGUGAUUGUGAGCCGCUGUGUUGGCAUCAUAGUGUAUUUACAGGUACCCCAUCCUCAUAUACCAAUAAUUAUUGAAGAGUCGAAGUUGAUAUGGAGUGAAUUCCCGAAAUAGCUGGAAUUUUCUCAUUUACCAAGAACGUAUCACGAGGAACACUAUUGAGUCAUUUAACUGAUAUAAUUUCAUCUUCAUAUAUAAAUCUCGAGUAUUAUUGUAGGAACAUUUUUGCCACAACGGUUUCCAACGAGAUCUCCUCUCCCUCUUUGUAGUAUGUCAUAGGCUCGCAAUAUCCCAAUCUGAAAUUAAAUGAACACAAGAUAAUAUGUAAAUUUUCAGUAAUACUGGAUUAUGGAUAAACAUGUCGAAUAACUCACUUUUCACUCCAAUAAGCAUGUAAAUGAUGUUCGUUACUCCCUAAUCGUUACUCUCGCAUAUCUCUUUUGAUGUUGUCGAAUCUAAGAGCUGAUUCUCUCCAAUUGUGGCACUCAGGAUUCUCGAUGAGGUCUUCAACGAAUUCUUUAACUCUCUUCUGAAACAUAAAGUAAAUUUCAUUAGGAUGUUCAUGGAAGACGAGAAUGAGUUAUUUAACGAGUUCCAUUUCAUCUUCUGGUAUGCAUCCAUUUUCGGAGCUAUAUUUGAGUAGAACUGGAUGAUGUAGGAGCGAGAAAAAGUUUGAGAUUUUUUUUUGGAAAUGAGUGAUUCAAACAAGAUUUUUGAUACAGGUAAAAUCUUAUCUUAAAAAAAAUGAUAACAUAUAAAUACCACCAACAUCGAUAAGUUCUUUGCUGAUUUUUCAUUUGGAUUUUUAGGCCCUGAAAAUCUAAUCAUUUUAACUCAUAUUACUAUUUUAGCCACUCAGACAGAUUUUCAGUGUCCGCUGCUCGUAGUAUCUAGACAAUCAAUCACAAUGAUACUAAUUUGUCUUAAAUAUGCAUUAUACCCAUGAUAUCUCCAUGAUAAUUAUGGUAUAUUUUGGUUUUAAAGCUGCAUAAUAUCUGUGGUAUCUUGAAGUCCUGCAAUAUAUAUAGAUUCUCGGGUGUGUGUAAUAUAAAGUUCGCAUAAUCCCAAAAUAACAAGAGAAAAGUUAAUUUUGUUUGGAAGAUAAGGAGGAGAAAUGGCUAAGAAGAGAAGCUAUCAUCUUAUGCUUUUUCUUGGUUCUUUUCGUUUUCGUUACGGGUGGCGAUGCGAAGAAACAUAUUAAUAAAAAGCACAAAACUUGCAAAGAAACAUGGGAAACCACAUGCGUGAUAGAAGAUGAUUGCAACGAAAAAUGUUUCCACGAUCAUGGAAGAAAAGCUAAAACUGGAUGCCUUGUCCAAGAAGGACCCACAGGCGGUGAUUUGUGCGUCUUCAACUAUGCUUGUUAGGAAAAUCCAUUACAUGGGAGAUGUUUUUCUUUUUUGUUGUUGUUGUUGUCCAAGGAAUAAGAAUUAUAAGAAAUAUUUAUGUUUUA